rnacentral:rRNA from 1 species
UACGGAGGGUGCGAGCGUUGUCCGGAAUCAUUGGGCGUAAAGGGCGCGUAGGUGGCCCGGUCAGUUCGUGGUGAAAGCGCGGGGCUCAACCCUGCGUCGGCCAUGAAUACUGCCGCGGCUGGAGCACUGUAGAGGCAGGCGGAAUUCCGGGUGUAGCGGUGGAAUGCGUAGAGAUCCGGAAGAACACCGGUGGCGAAGGCGGCCGCUGGGCCAGGUAGCUGGACACUGAGGCGCGACAGCGUGGGGAGCAAACAGG